AUCCAGGCCCUACGGGGCGCAGCAGGCGCGAAAACUUUACCAUGCGGGCAACCGUGAUAAGGAAACCCCGAGUGCCAGCACAGGCUGGCUGUCCGCCAGUUUAAAUAACUGGUGAAGAAAGGGCCGGGCAAGACCGGUGCCAGCCGCCGCGGUAAUACCGGCGGCUCGAGUGGUGGCCGCUAUUACUGGGCUUAAAGGGUCCGUAGCUUGAUAACUGGGUCCCUUGAGAAAUCCGCCAGCUUAACUGGCGGGCGUUCAGGGGAAACUUGUUUUCUAGGGACCGGGAGAGGUGAGGGGUACUGCCGGGGUAGGAGUGAAAUCCUGUAAUCCCGGUGGGACUACCUAUGGCGAAGGCAUCUCACCAGAACGGGUCCGACAGUGAGGGACGAAAGCUGGGGGAGCAAACCGGAUUAGAUACCCGGGUAGUCCCAGCCGUAAACUAUGCGCGUUAGGUGUAUCGGUGACCACGAGUUACCGAGGUGCCGAAGGGAAACCGUGAAACGUGCCGCCUGGGAAGUACGGUCGCAAGGCUGAAACUUAAAGGAAUUGGCGGGGGAGCACCACAACGGGUGGAGCCUGCAGUUUAAUUGGACUCAACGCCGGGAAGCUCACCGGAUAAGACAGCGGAAUGAUGCCGUCUAAGUACUACC
rnacentral:rRNA from 1 species